rnacentral:rRNA from 1 species
UACGUAGGGGGCAAGCGUUGUCCGGAAUCAUUGGGCGUAAAGCGCGUGUAGGCGGCCCGAUAAGUCCGCUGUGAAAGUCCAGGGCUCAACCCUGGGAUGCCGGUGGAUACUGUCGGGCUCGAGUCCGGAAGAGGCGAGUGGAAUUCCUGGUGUAGCGGUGAAAUGCGCAGAUAUCAGCAGGAACACCCGUGGCGAAGGCGCCCCCCUGGGCCGAUACUGACGCUGAGGCGCGAAAGCGUGGGGAGCAAACAGG